rnacentral:rRNA from 1 species
UACGGGGGGGAGCAAGCGUUGUUCGGAUUUACUGGGCAUAAAGGGCGCGUAGGCGGCGUGACAAGUCACUUGUGAAAUCUCCGGGCUUAACUCGGAACGGUCAAGUGAUACUGUCGUGCUAGAGUACAGAAGGGGCAACUGGAAUUCUCGGUGUAGCGGUGAAAUGCGUAGAUAUUGGGAGGAACACCAGUGGCGAAGGCGGCUCACUGGACCGGAACUGACGCUGAGGCGCGAAAGCGUGGGGAGCAAACAGG